CAGCUCUCCGAGUGGUAGGGACGAUUAUUGGGCUUAAAGCGUCCGUAGCCGGCCUGGCAAGUCUUCCGUUAAAUCCAACGAUUCAAUCGUUGGACUGCGGGAGAUACUGUCAGGCUAGGGGGCGGGAGAGGCCGACGGUAUUCCCGGGGUAGGGGUAAAAUCCUAUAAUCCCGGGAAGACCACCAGUGGCGAAGGCGGUCGGCUAGAACGCGCCCGACAGUGAGGGACGAAAGCUGGGGGAGCGAACCGGAUUAGAUACCCGGGUAGUCCCAGCUGUAAACGAUGCGGGCUAGGUGUUGGAGCGGCUACGAGCCGCUUCAGUGCCGCAGGGAAACCAUUAAGCCCGCCGCCUGGGGAGUACGGCCGCAAGGCUGAAACUUAAAGGAAUUGGCGGGGGAGCACCACAAGGGGUGAAGCUUGCGGUUUAAUUGGAGUCAACGCCGGGAAACUUACCGGGGGCGACAGCAGGAUGAAGGCCAGAUUGAAGGUCUUGCUGGACGAGCUGAGAGGAGGUGCAUGGCCGUCGCCAGUUCGUGCCGUGAGGUGUCCUGUUAAGUCAGGCAACGAUCGAGACCCACGCCCCCUGUUGCCACCGAGGAGGUUUCUCCAAGGGGCACUCUGGGGGGACCGCCGCCGACAAGGCGGAGGAAGGAGUGGGCCACGGCAGGUCAGUAUGCCCCGAAUCCCCCGGGCCACACGCGAGCUGCAAUGGCUGGGACAGAGGGUUCCGACCCCGAGAGGGGAAGGUAAUCCCUAAACCCAGCCGUAGUUGGGAUCGAGGGCUGAAACUCGCCCUCGUGAACAUGGAAUCCCUAGUAAUCGCGCGUCAUCAUCGCGCGGUGAAUACGUCCCUGCUCCUU
rnacentral:rRNA from 1 species